rnacentral:rRNA from 1 species
GUGAAAUUCCGUCGGAAUCUGGGAGGACCAUCUCCUAAGGCUAAAUACUCUCUAGUGACCGAUAGUGAACCAGUACCGUGAGGGAAAGGUGAAAAGCACCCCGGAAGGGGAGUGAAAUAGAACCUGAAACCGUGUGCUUACAAGUAGUCAGAGCCCGUUAAUGGGUGAUGGCGUGCCUUUUGUAGAAUGAACCGGCGAGUUACGAUUUGAUGCAAGGUUAAGCAGUAAAUGUGGAGCCGUAGCGAAAGCGAGUCUGAAUAGGGCGUUUAGUAUUUGGUCGUAGACCCGAAACCAGGUGAUCUACCCUUGGUCAGGUUGAAGUUCAGGUAACACUGAAUGGAGGACCGAACCGACUUACGUUGAAAAGUGAGCGGAUGAACUGAGGGUAGCGGAGAAAUUCCAAUCGAACCUGGAGAUAGCUGGUUCUCUCCGAAAUAGCUUUAGGGCUAGCCUCAAGUGAUGAUUAUUGGAGGUAGAGCACUGUUUGGACGAGGGGCCCCUCUCGGGUUACCGAAUUCAGACAAACUCCGAAUGCCAAUUAAUUUAACUUGGGAGUCAGAACAUGGGUGAUAAGGUCCAUGUUCGAAAGGGAAACAGCCCAGACCACCAGCUAAGGUCCCAAAAUAUAUGUUAAGUGGAAAAGGAUGUGGCGUUGCCCAGACAACUAGGAUGUUGGCUUAGAAGCAGCCAUCAUUUAAAGAGUGCGUA